GAUGAACGCUAGCUACAGGCUUAACACAUGCAAGUCGAGGGGCAGCAUGACGAUAGCUUGCUAUUGUUGAUGGCGACCGGCGCACGGGUGAGUAACGCGUAUCCAACCUUCCCGUUGCUAGGGGAUAACCUUGCGAAAGUAAGACUAAUACCCAAUGAUAUCUCUAGAAGACAUCUGAAAGGGAUUAAAGAUUUAUCGGUGAUGGAUGGGGAUGCGUCUGAUUAGCUUGUUGGCGGGGUAACGGCCCACCAAGGCAACGAUCAGUAGGGGUUCUGAGAGGAAGGUCCCCCACAUUGGAACUGAGACACGGUCCAAACUCCUACGGGAGGCAGCAGUGAGGAAUAUUGGUCAAUGGGGCGCAGGCCUGAACCAGCCAAGUCGCGUGAGGGAGGACGGUCCUACGGAUUGUAAACCUCUUUUGUCGGGGAGUAACGUGCGGGACGCGUCCCGUAUUGAGAGUACCCGAAGAAAAACGCAUCGGCUAACUCCGUGCCAGCAGCCGCGGU
rnacentral:rRNA from 1 species